UGAAAAAAGAGUUAGAGGGACACAUAGAGAGAGAUGACUGGGAGAUAGAAACUGAAGUACAGUUAGACGGACAAAAAGUCAGACAAACAGGUAGAAAGAAAAACAGUGAGACAGAUGUGAAUGAAAAAGGUUGGGAGACAGUAAGAGAGAAAGGAAAAAAGAAAGAGUGAGUGAGAGAAAGAAAGAGACACACACACACACACCGAAUAUACAAGUAGAAAAAGAGAUGGUGAAGGGAGUGAGGGGAGAGUGAAAGAUGUAAAUCGAGUAAGAUAGAGAGUAAGAAAUGUGUGAAUGAGAAAUGACAGGAGAGCGAAUGAGAGAAACAAAUGUAAGCCAGACAGACAGACAGAAAAAGAGACAAACAGAAAGAUAGUAAAGAGAAAGCUAGAAAUAUUUGUGUGCGAUGUGAGGGAGAAAAGAUAAAGUUGUAUAACUACAUAGGUAAAUACAUUCCUGUAUAUUUAAAGAAAAAAAUAGAAAUUGUGAAGAAAGGUAGUUACGUGUGCCUGUUUUCUGGAAAUUUUGAAAAAUAUGUGCACCUAGCAUAUAGUGUUGAUAUUUCGUUAUAAAAUAAACCAUAUUUUAUGUAAUGUACGGUAAGUAGUAAAUAAAAACCUUGACUAUGGCUAUAAAAAUAAUUAUUGCUGUCACUUUGUAGGAUUGUGUUUAUCAGUGACGAACCUCUGUUUAAUAAUUUUAAAUCCAAGGAGUUUCGUCUGAAAUUUAGCGGAAUUUCACCCGAGUCAACAUGAAGGUUGGAGAUAGGAGUGGAUUUAAAAGUCCCUGUAGCGAUUCGAAGACCGGUGUUCUGCACUGGAUCCAGCAUUUUCAGCGGCAGAGCUGAAAAAGUUACAUCCAUAGUCAAGUUCAACUAGCUGUUUGUUCCUCUGGCUUUUUCUGGCUUUGCCCUUUUCAUUAUUUUAUUUUGUGCAAAGAAAUGGGGUGAUACAAUUGCAUUGCCUUUGUGGUGGUCACAACUACAACAUGUGUUCUUCUUGUCCUCUGUCCACCCGCUAUUGCUCCUGUAGCUGGUUGGUUUGGGAUAACUGCAGUCGGAGUUACAGCAGGUUCGAUGGCAGCAGCAGCCCAAUCAUGUAUAGGCAAUGUAAUGAAGGGGUCACCGUUCUCUAUUCUCCAGCAUGCAGGAAUGCGUGUUUAAUAAUUUACACUGGAUGAAUUUUUAUGGAGGGAAAAAUCUUGCAAAUAUGUACACAUUAUAUUUGUUUAUAAUACAAUAUAUCUCAUGUU